GUGGGGAAUCUUAGACAAUGGGCGCAAGCCUGAUCUAGCCAUGCCGCGUGAUCGAUGAAGGCCUUAGGGUUGUAAAGAUCUUUCAGUGGGGAAGAUAAUGACUGUACCCACAGAAGAAGCCCCGGCUAACUCCGUGCCAGCAGCCGCGGUAAUACGGAGGGGGCUAGCGUUGUUCGGAAUUACUGGGCGUAAAGCGCACGUAGGCGGAACAGAAAGUCAGAGGUGAAAUCCCAGGGCUCAACCUUGGAACUGCCUUUGAAACUCCUGUUCUUGAGUUCGAGAGAGGUGAGUGGAAUUCCGAGUGUAGAGGUGAAAUUCGUAGAUAUUCGGAGGAACACCAGUGGCGAAGGCGGCCUUUUGGCCCAGCACUGACACUCAGACCCGAAAGCGUGGGUAGCAAACAGGAUUAGAUACCCUAGUAGUCC
rnacentral:rRNA from 1 species